rnacentral:rRNA from 1 species
CAGUCGCCACGGUAAUACGUAGGGUGCGAGCGUUAAUCGGAAUUACUGGGCGUAAAGCGUGCGCAGGCGGUUGUGUAAGACAGGUGUGAAAUCCCCGGGCUUAACCUGGGAACUGCGCUUGUGACUGCACAGCUAGAGUAUGGCAGAGGGGGGUGGAAUUCCACGUGUAGCAGUGAAAUGCGUAGAGUUGUGGAGGAACACCGAUGGCGAAGGCAGCCCCCUGGGCCAAUACUGACGCUCAUGCACGAAAGCGUGGGGAGCAAACAGGAUUAGAUACCCGGGUAGUCCCUGUCUCUUAUAC